GCCAAAGUGGUGCAGUGGUUAGUGUGCUGGACUAUGACUUGGUAGGCCAGGGUUCAAAUCCCCACUCAUCCAUGAGGCU